UGCAUCUUCUCAAGAACUCUUCCAUAAGAGCCACUUUUGAAGCUCAAGCUUACUGGGUUUUUUUCUUUUAUUCUUUGUUUCAGAGUUUUACUGUUGAGUUUAUCAUAACUUGGUGGAUAGCGGAUUGUGGGCAAACUGGUUUAGUCUCAAAAGGAUCGAGUUACGAAAAGACAUACGCCAGAAUACGUUCCCGCCCCUCUUCUACGUGUGGAGACAUAAAGAUAAAAGCAAGGCCUUCAAGUGGAACAGCUGCACUUUCCAUCUGAUCAAAGGCGGUGAGAGGAUACUGUGAUACGUGGAGCCCAUUUUGUGACUACGUCAUCAAGGAGUGAUUAAAAGUUGGAUGAUGAUCGGUUUCUUAAUGUAGGACAUUCUGACUUUGAGGUGAGUGAAAUGUAACGAUAACAUCUACUCACAGCGUAA